rnacentral:rRNA from 1 species
CCAUCCUCCAAGGCUAAAUACUCCUGACUGACCGAUAGUGAACCAGUACCGUGAGGGAAAGGCGAAAAGAACCCCGGCGAGGGGAGUGAAAAAGAACCUGAAACCGUGUACGUACAAGCAGUGGGAGCACGCUUAGGCGUGUGACUGCGUACCUUUUGUAUAAUGGGUCAGCGACUUAUAUUCUGUAGCAAGGUUAACCGAAUAGGGGAGCCGAAGGGAAACCGAGUCUUAACUGGGCGUUAAGUUGCAGGGUAUAGACCCGAAACCCGGUGAUCUAGCCAUGGGCAGGUUGAAGGUUGGGUAACACUAACUGGAGGACCGAACCGACUAAUGUUGAAAAAUUAGCGGAUGACUUGUGGCUGGGGGUGAAAGGCCAAUCAAACCGGGAGAUAGCUGGUUCUCCCCGAAAGCUAUUUAGGUAGCGCCUCGUGAAUUCAUCUCCGGGGGUAGAGCACUGUUUCGGCAAGGGGGUCAUCCCGACUUACCAACCCGAUGCAAACUGCGAAUACCGGAGAAUGUUAUCACGGGAGACACACGGCGGGUGCUAACGUCCGUCGUGAAGAGGGAAACAACCCAGACCGCCAGCUAAGGUCCCAAAGUCAUGGUUAAGUGGGAAACGAUGUGGGAAGGCCCAGACAGCCAGGAUGUUGGCUUAGAAGCAGCCAUCAUUUAAAGAAAGCGUAAUAGCUCACUGGUCGAGUCGGCCUGCGCGGAAGAUGUAACGGGGCUAAACCAUGCACCGAAGCUGCGGCAGCGACGCUUAUGCGUUGUUGGGUAGGGGAGCGUUCUGUAAGCCUGUGAAGGUGUGCUGUGAGGUAUGCUGGAGGUAUCAGAAGUGCGAAUGCUGACAUAAGUAACGAUAAAGCGGGUGAAAAGCCCGCUCGCCGGAAGACCAAGGGUUCCUGUCCAACGUUAAUCGGGGCAGGGUGAGUCGACCCCUAAGGCGAGGCCGAAAGGCGUAGUCGAUGGGAAACAGGUUAAUAUUCCUGUACUUGGUGUUACUGCGAAGGGGGGACGGAGAAGGCUAUGUUGGCCGGGCGACGGUUGUCCCGGUUUAAGCGUGUAGGCUGGUUUUCCAGGCAAAUCCGGAAAAUCAAGGCCGAGGCGUGAUGACGAGGCACUACGGUGCUGAAGCAACAAAUGCCCUGCUUCCAGGAAAAGCCUCUAAGCAUCAGGUAACAUCAAAUCGUACCCCAAACCGACACAGGUGGUCAGGUAGAGAAUACCAAGGCGCUUGAGAGAACUCGGGUGAAGGAACUAGGCAAAAUGGUGCCGUAACUUCGGGAGAAGGCACGCUGAUACGUAGGUGAAGCGACUUGCUCGUGGAGCUGAAAUCAGUCGAAGAUACCAGCUGGCUGCAACUGUUUAUUAAAAACACAGCACUGUGCAAACACGAAAGUGGACGUAUACGGUGUGACGCCUGCCCGGUGCCGGAAGGUUAAUUGAUGGGGUUAGCGCAAGCGAAGCUCUUGAUCGAAGCCCCGGUAAACGGCGGCCGUAACUAUAACGGUCCUAAGGUAGCGAAAUUCCUUGUCGGGUAAGUUCCGACCUGCACGAAUGGCGUAAUGAUGGCCAGGCUGUCUCCACCCGAGACUCAGUGAAAUUGAACUCGCUGUGAAGAUGCAGUGUACCCGCGGCAAGACGGAAAGACCCCGUGAACCUUUACUAUAGCUUGACACUGAACAUUGAGCCUUGAUGUGUAGGAUAGGUGGGAGGCUUUGAAGUGUGGACGCCAGUCUGCAUGGAGCCGACCUUGAAAUACCACCCUUUAAUGUUUGAUGUUCUAACGUGGACCCGUGAUCCGGGUUGCGGACAGUGUCUGGUGGGUAGUUUGACUGGGGCGGUCUCCUCCUAAAGAGUAACGGAGGAGCACGAAGGUUGGCUAAUCCUGGUCGGACAUCAGGAGGUUAGUGCAAUGGCAUAAGCCAGCUUGACUGCGAGCGUGACGGCGCGAGCAGGUGCGAAAGCAGGUCAUAGUGAUCCGGUGGUUCUGAAUGGAAGGGCCAUCGCUCAACGGAUAAAAGGUACUCCGGGGAUAACAGGCUGAUACCGCCCAAGAGUUCAUAUCGACGGCGGUGUUUGGCACCUCGAUGUCGGCUCAUCACAUCCUGGGGCUGAAGUAGGUCCCAAGGGUAUGGCUGUUCGCCAUUUAAAGUGGUACGCGAGCUGGGUUUAGAACGUCGUGAGACAGUUCGGUCCCUAUCUGCCGUGGGCGCUGGAGAACUGAGGGGGGCUGCUCCUAGUACGAGAGGACCGGAGUGGACGCAUCACUGGUGUUCGGGUUGUCAUGCCAAUGGCACUGCCCGGUAGCUAAAUGCGGAAGAGAUAAGUGCUGAAAGCAUCUAAGCACGAAACUUGCCCCGAGAUGAGUUCUCCCUGACCCUUUAAGGGUCCUGAAGGAACGUUGAAGACGACGACGUUGAUAGGCCGGGUGUGUAAGCGCAGCGAUGCGUUGAGCUAACCGGUACUAAUGAACCGUGAGGCUUAACC